AAAAACUCUACUUUUCUCUCUUUCCUCUCCUCCUCCUGUGAUGACGAGAUAGUGCGACGAACAAGACUCCUCUCCUCUCAGGUUUUGAUCUUUUUAAUUUGUAUUUGGACCAUUGAUUUGGAGACAAGGCGCUCCUCCAUCUCAGCUAGCUCCCUUUCUCAUAUCAAUAUCAACGAAAUUGAUGAGAACUCUGGCCGAAUAACCGAAGAGAUAGAGAAGUGCAAAGAGUAGAGUCUUGAGAAGAAGAGAGGCUUAGAGGAAGCCAAAGAACAAGUUGAGAAAGCUGCUUAUGCAGUUUUAGAGAUGCUCAACAACAAAGAAUAGAUUGUAGAGUGAAUGUAUUGAACAAUACUUUCAAUUACAUGAAUGAAGUUUAUGUUGGCUUUGAUGAGGAUAUAGUACCAUUGAGAAUAAGCUUUUAAAGUAAA